rnacentral:rRNA from 1 species
UACGUAGGGGGCAAGCGUUGUCCGGAUUUAUUGGGCGUAAAGAGCGUGUAGGCGGCUUGGUAGGUCUGCUGUGAAAACUCGGGGCUCAACCCCGAGACGUCGGUGGAAACCACCUGGCUAGAGUCCGGAAGAGGAGAGUGGAAUUCCUGGUGUAGCGGUGAAAUGCGCAGAUAUCAGGAAGAAUAUCCGUGGCGAAGGCGGCUCUCUGGGACGGUACUGACGCUGAGACGCGAAAGCGUGGGGAGCGAACAGG